rnacentral:rRNA from 1 species
CCUACGGGAGGCAGCAGUGAGGAAUAUUGGUCAAUGGGCGCGAGCCUGAACCAGCCAAGUAGCGUGAAGGAUGACUUCCCUACGGGUUGUAAACUUCUUUUAUAAGGGAAUAAAGUGAGGCACGUGUGCCUUUUUGUAUGUAUUUUAUGAAUAAGGAUCGGCUAACUCCGUGCCAGCAGCCGCGGUAAUACGGAGGAUCCGAGCGUUAUCCGGAUUUAUUGGGUUUAAAGGGAGCGUAGAUGGGUUGUUAAGUCAGUUGUGAAAGUUUGCGGCUCAACCGUAAAAUUGCAAUUGAUACUGGCAGCAUUGAGUACAGUUGAGGUAGGCGGAAUUCGUGGUGUAGCGGUGAAAUGCUUAGAUAUCACGAAGAACUCCGAUUGCGAAGGCAGCUCACUGGACUGCAACUGACACUGAGGCUCGAAAGUGUGGGUAUCAAACAGGAUUAGAUACCCGGGUAGUC